rnacentral:rRNA from 1 species
ACGAACGCUGGCGGCGCGCCUAACACAUGCAAGUCGAACGGAGCUGAGAGAAGCUUGCUUUUCUUAGCUUAGUGGCGAACGGGUGAGUAACGCGUGAGUAACCUGCCCUGGAGUGGGGGACAACAGUUGGAAACGACUGCUAAUACCGCAUAAGCCCACGAUCCGGCAUCGGAUUGAGGGAAAAGGAUUUAUUCGCUUCAGGAUGGACUCGCGUCCAAUUAGCUAGUUGGUGAGGUAACGGCCCACCAAGGCGACGAUUGGUAGCCGGACUGAGAGGUUGAACGGCCACAUUGGGACUGAGACACGGCCCAGACUCCUACGGGAGGCAGCAGUGGGGGAUAUUGCACAAUGGGGGAAACCCUGAUGCAGCGACGCCGCGUGGAGGAAGAAGGUUUUCGGAUUGCAAACUCCUGUCGUUAGGGACGAUAAUGACGGUACCUAACAAGAAAGCACCGGCUAACUACGUG